rnacentral:piRNA from 1 species
UCCAAAUGGUUCCUCAAGCCAUAGUAUGCC